GCAGGUGAGUGCGGACCCAUUGCGGUUCGCGGUGUGUCUUGGCGGACAGCACGCAGGGGCUCCCGCAGCCAGCCUCGCGGGCCACCAAGUCUCCGUGUCCACAGCGGUGACGCUUGAGUGGCGACCAUUGUCAGACCCAGAAAACUCAGCAGGUGGCGGAUCGGGGAAGCUGUGUCACUUCACAGAGGGGUAGCUGCGUGCGGGGGCGAAGCGGCUCGAGGUGACAUCGCAGGUCUCUUGACCCGCCGCGGCCCUGCAGGUGUGUACUGCUUGUCCCGGGCUCCAGGCAGGGUGAAGGGCGCGGGGCCACCGCAGGGAAAGCAGGGCCACUUCUCAGCCGUUGGGGACAGAGCGAGCUUAAGGCCUGGUCUGCUGCAUCGACGUCAGGCCCCACACAUGCACACAAGAUGACGACAUGGCAAGAGUACACACAGACUAGUUUCAGAAUUGCUGCUAUUUCAUACCCCGUAGAAGGCAGUGCGACAUUUGGAUGGAUGCAGGUCUCUUACGGCUAUAACCGUAGCCAAAACACUUAUUUUUCCAAGGUGGGGAGCAGGGAGAGACAGAGACAGAGAUAGACACAGAGAAAGAGUUUUAAGAGAAAGAAAAGUAACGGAUGCUUACCUAUGCGCAGCCAGAUAAGAACGAAUCUGGUCCUUAUGCUGCAUCCAUCAGUGUAUUCGUUCUUCAUCUGACUCUCAGACUCUUCCCACCCUCAGAUGUAACAACUAUUUUGAAUUUUGUGUUUACCACAGCCUAUUUUUUUAAAAGUGUAUACAUAUGCAACAGUUUAAGCUUUGUUGUUGUUGUUGUUUUUGAGUACUUGGUUAAUUUCUAAGUAGUGUCUAUGUCAGCUGGGUAAGGUCCAGCUAUAAAAACAAUACAGAAGCUGUAUUUUCAGGGGAUGGGUAGGUUGUUUUCAGGCUGGUUAUGCAUCACAAAUAGUGCUGACGAUGGAUACUUUGUGCAUGUCUCCUACACAUGAGAAUAUCCAUAGGAAUACAUUUUUCAAGCUUUUUUAUUCACAGGCAAUUUUCAUACAAAUGUAGAAUGCAUUUGAUUCAUUUCACACCCCCCCUUCCUGGGCACCCCCUUUGUAGACAUUUUUAAGAUUUGAUGUGGAUAUAGAGUUUUCCAAACACAUUUGGCAUCGAGUGUUCCUGGUCAAGGGUUAAUUCUGAGCCAGAGGAAAAUUUACAGCCUGAUAGUUUUUUAAUUGCCAAAUAAGUCAUAAUGAAAAUGGCUGGGGAAACUCCUGCAAUUUGAAGAGGUAGAAACAUUUAAAAAUCCUUUUGUAGUCUAGGUUUUUCAAGAUGUAGAACGUAGGACAAAGGGUUUUGUUUUGUUUUGUUUGUGGGAAUUUAGCUAUGAGUAGAAUAUAGUCGCCUGGACAGAGUGAAGGACAAAGAUAGC
rnacentral:lncRNA from 1 species